GAGGGCUUGGCGCAGUUGGCAGCGCGUUCGACUCCAGAUCGAUUGGUCGGCGGUUCAAAUCCGUCAGUCCUCA